GAUGAACGCUGGCGGCGUGCCUAAUACAUGCAAGUCGAGCGAACAGACGAGGAGCUUGCCCUCUGACGUUAGCGGCGGACGGGUGAGUAACACGUGGAUAACCUACCUAUAAGACUGGGAUAACUUCGGGAAACCGGAGCUAAUACCGGAUAAUAUAUUGAACCGCAUGGUUCAAUAGUGAAAGACGGUUUUGCUGUCACUUAUAGAUGGAUCCGCGCCGCAUUAGCUAGUUGGUAAGGUAACGGCUUACCAAGGCAACGAUGCGUAGCCGACCUGAGAGGGUGAUCGGCCACACUGGAACUGAGACACGGUCCAGACUCCUACGGGAGGCAGCAGUAGGGAAUCUUCCGCAAAGGGCGAAAGCCUGACGGAGCAACGCCGCGUGAGUGAUGAAGGUCUUCGGAUCGUAAAACUCUGUUAUUAGGGAAGAACAAAUGUGUAAGUAACUAUGCACGUCUUGACGGUACCUAAUCAGAAAGCCACGGCUAACUACGUG
rnacentral:rRNA from 1 species